UGUGGCGCGUUUCUUUGUCUCUAAAAGUCUGAAAUCAGCAGUUCAUCGGUGAGGGCGCCACAUUCCACAUGGGGCAGUACAUGGCCGCUUUCAAGGCAAGGAAAGUCGUACAGUAGCUGCCAUAACUGGACCCACUGCCAGAAAAUGAGACGCAUUUCUUUGUCUCUAAACGUCUUAAAUCAGCAGUUCAUCGGUCAGGGCGCCACCUUCCACAUGGGGCAGUACAUGGCCGCUGUCAUGUAAAGGAAAGUCAUAUAGUAGCUCCCAUAACUGCUGCCAUUGCCAUAACGUGUGGCGCGUUUCUUCGUCUCUAAAAGUCUGAAAUCAGAAGUUCAUCGGUGAGGGCGCCACCUUCCACAUGGUGCAGUCCACGGCCGCUUUCAAGGCAAGGAAAGUCAUACAGUAGCUGCCAUAACUGGUACCACUGCCAGAAAAUGAGACGCAUUUCUUCGUCUCUAAACGUCUUAAAUCAGCAGUUCAUCGGUGAGGGCGCCACCUUCCACAUGGGGCAGUACACGGCCGCUGUCAUGUCAAGGAAAGUCAUACAGUAGCUCCCAUAACUGGUAAAUGCUACA